AAAUACCUCAUUAAGUAAGAUUUAUUACAUAUAUGGAAGUAAGCAUAUGAAAAGAUGUUCAACAUUAUGUGAAAUUAGGAAAUUUCUAGGUAAAACAAAUUAGAUAAAAUAUAUAUGUACUAUAAUGGCAAAAAUCUAAAACAAUGUCAUUGCUGUCAAGAAUGAAGAGGUUGGGGCUCUUCACAGCUGGAAGCUGUAAAAUGAUAAAGGAUUUGUGCAAGGCAGUGUGGCAGGUUUUCAUAUGAUAAGCAUUUGCUUAUCAUAUAAACCAGAAAUCACGAUGCUCAACAUUUAAACUGUGUCUCCACAAAAUCUGACCCACAGGUGUUCAUAGCUAUUUUAUUCAUAAACAUUCAAAGUUGGAAGGAACUGAGAUAUCUUCCAGUAGGUGAAUGGAUAAAUAACUCUCUCACAUUCAAUCAAAGGAAUACAGAAGCAAUGAAAGUAAAUGAGCUGUCAGCGGAAUAAACACAUGGAAGAAAUUUAAAUGCAUAUUCCUAAGAGAAAACACUCAGUCUGAAGAAAUAAACUGCAUUAUUCUAACUCUGUAAAUGUCUAGAAAAGGCAUAUUUUAGACAGCAAACAGAUCAGUGAUCGCUAGAGAGAUUAAGAUCACUGGUGGUUGAAUAAGAGGAGCCAAGAAGGCUUAGGGCAAUAAAACUACCUCCUAUAAUGGCAAUGCAGGUGAUCAUGCACUUGUUAAGACCCAUGGAUUUUAUUUUUGUUUGUGUUCAGAACGGUCUCAUUAUGAUGACCUUGAACCUUUAAUGUUCCUGUCUCAGCUGCCUGAGUACUAGGAUUAUAAAUAUAUGUCCAAUGCCUGUCUGGUAAAGUGCAUAGGUUUCAAAAAUAAAGGACCAAAGCAUGAACUUCUGGUGCUAGGGACUUAUUUUUCACUGUAGAUCCAUCAGCUAUAGAAAAUAUAGCCUCUUGAUAUAAGACAGCUAAUAGUAUGGAAGGUUAAGGGGUAGUAAGAGACAAGAAUUUGCAUUCCACUUUGUUCUAAACUGAACAGUUCUGCAAAAUAACAUCUACUUUUAGAGAAAACCUAUUGGUCUCCCCCAAAGUUAUGCUAGAAUAUGAUUUAUUUGAAGCUGAGUAUGAAAAUUCAAAAUCUUUAACACACUUGCAGAACUUAGUGCAAUAUUAUCAUAAGGAAGAUAUCACCCACCGACUGGAUCUUAUCAAUUGGAAACAAGAACUUUUUGUAACUUAUGAUUAAGUAUCCAGUUUUCAACAGCAUCUAAGAUCACCAAUGAGUCUGUUUUCUAUCCCCCAAAACACAGUGAAAUCUUGUCUCGUGAUAACUGUUCAUUUUAUUUCUAUAGAGUUUCUCUUUCUUUCCACUUUGAACCAAUUUUGACUCUUUGGUGUUUCAUCCUAGCUACUGUAUCCCCAAUAUAUCUUCAAUCCCUAUAUCUUUGUUCUUCACAAUCAUUGACCUAUGGUCUCUCUAUUCACCUAUACAGGCAGGUAAUAGAAAGAGAUAACCCAAAAAUUAAGACAAUUUGAGUUGAUACUUUUAGAGUUUACUACUGAUCCCUGUUUCUGUUUUAUUUGGUCACUGUUUCUUACCUUUCUCCAUAUCUAACUUGAUUUCAACUCUUACAGUUCUCAGCAGCUAAGAGGAUCCCUCUAAAGUUUCAGGGAAUAUAAACAAGAUCCAUGUGAAAUGUGUCCACCUCUUACCAAGUCUGCAACCAUUCUGGCAUGUGCACCUGUCCCCUUCCUAUUUCUACUUACAAAUGUAACUUCCUUUUCUGUUGCUUCAAAGUGAGCUACUCUGCCUCCAUCCACCCAUUUUCUGCAGGUGCUGGACUUCUGCAUCUCUUUCUUCUGGUUCAUUCCCCUCUCUUGCUGUUUGAAUCCAAAAUGUCCCUCACAGGCUUUCAGGUUGUAGAGCUGUUUAAAGAGC
rnacentral:lncRNA from 1 species